UUUUCUUCUUUUCUUUCCCUUUCUUCUCUUUUACCCAUUUCUCUCUCUCUUCGAUUUCUCCCUCUCCCAACCACCAUUUCAAGCAAGAUUGGUCUCUUUAAAUUCUUCUCCUUACGAGCUUCACAUAGAUACCAAGAUUUUCUGCUAUCAUCACUCAGUUUGCACGAAUCAAAUAUCCAAAGUUUUUGACCCUUUAACCUUCUCUCUAAGAUUUAUCCCAUACCAGACAUCCUAUUGAAAAUCUGAAGCCACUAACAUGUUAUACUCGUUGAGAGCUUCGUGUAGACACCAAUCUCAUAAUUUUUCGACAUCAAAAAAUUUAGAGACCCAAAAACUUAAUGGUACCUUCGUUUUGGAGGAAUUCUUUCGGCGCUCGAGAUUGCAAUUUUAGUCCAAACGUGUUUGCUCUGGAACUGACCUCCAAAAGAGGUUAAAUUUUGAGUUGAUGUAAUUGGAGACUUACUACGAGCUUUGGGCGCCUUAUGCCGGCCCAAGUCAUAGUGUCGGUUCGGUCCACGAAGUUGGAUCGUGACAGCAGACCUCUUCAAAGCUUGUGCCAUAAACGAGAGUUAAAUAUAAACACUAUCGAUCUGAGUGACCAGAGGAACUCACCGCGAUAUAAAUCAGAUGAGCCAAGUAUGACCUAAUGAGACUAGAGUAGGAUAUCGGCUUCUUAUGUAUUGGUCGUCCCCUUGGUAUAUCUCCGAGGUCUUAAAUGCGCGUGCAAAAAAAAAAAAAGACUGAUGUGACACUCAUUAUAAACAGGGUAUGGACUAGUAACUCAUAUUUAUUAGCCAACCGCCUAUUAUUAAUGAGCGCCUGACACACUUGCAAGAGAACAUCUCCGUCCAGUCCGAUAGGAUAUGACAUAAGGGGUCAGAAUAAUCAGAGGUAUAUAUACCACUGAUAUAACCCAAAAGAGGGCAAACUCUAUCUCUCUCUCACACCCUCGCACAUACCCUCAGAUAUAUCAUCUCUCUUUUCUCUUGACUACUUUAUUUUUAUUUCUCUUUGCAUCUCUUUCCAUUAUUGCAUCAUUUUAAAAGUUCUAGAUCUGACUUGAACAUCGGAAGGUUUCUACUGGAAUAUAUCCAGUAAACCCUUGAUCACUUUUUCUUAUUUUGCAGGCUCCACCUUUUUCUCUUAAAAUCGGGCAUUGAGGGACUUAUGUGAAGAAUCUAAGAUAUUCACUCUCCAUAAAAUCAUGCAAAGUUCAUUGAUAUACUCAUUGAAUCAGACUACAGUCUAGGUGUCUGUAUUUGGUGAUCUCAUCAAAUCUCAAUUUAUAUAUAUAUAUAUAUAUAUAUACGUGUGGUCAUCGGUGAGAACUUUAGGACUACUUGCAUUAUUCUUGCAAUUCAAUGCUUGGUGGUGAAUAAUGAAACCCAUUUGUAAAGCUCCAUGAAACAUUUUGGUAACAAGUUACACGUAGGCACUUGCCUGUAUAUUGUCUAUUGGAGAUUAAAAAAUCAGUAUAUUAUUUGUUAUUUUUUCAUUUAACAGAAUUAGGUCUU